rnacentral:rRNA from 1 species
AUGAUGUAUUCACCUAGUUCUAUAACAACCAAUGUACCCCCUAAACAAUUGCAAAGUUUCGGCACCUCAUUGCCGAAAGAGUCUCAAAGUAUUGGGGGGCAAUCUCAAGAGGAGUGGAUGGAAAUUGAGAUGAAAAGAUUUAAAGCUCGCCAGGCUGGGAUGUGGGCUAAAAUAAGACAAGAGCGAGAAGCCUUGCAAAUUCAAAAAGAGAAAAAUAUUGAUUCACGUAACAAAGAAAAUGCGGUUAUUGAAAAAGCCGAAUCAAAUAGUGUGUGUACGGAAUCUAUCAAAGAAAAAGAUGAUGCCAAGGCAUUGAAGAGACAUUCAAAAGUGGAACAAAGUAUUAUUCAAGUGAUACAACCAUCAUACUCUCCCAACAUAAUUGAAGAGGUAUGUCUAGCAAGUGAUUUUCCUAUCUUUCGAUUUGGUCACAACUUUAUUGUCGAUGCUUCUAUAAGAAAAAUUCUCAUAAGUAAUUUUGAAAGACCAAUGAAGAAGGGUAAUUUACUUGUUAGCAAUAAAAAUUUUAUAGACUAUAUCGGUCAACCUAUUGUGCCAUUUAUAAAGACCCAUAGUGACUAUUGCAGCCGAAGUUUUCUCCAUUGCUUUAUCAAAAGUUUAUAUCUACUAGGGUAA